ensembl:lncRNA
CAGCGCUCCGUGGAGAGUGCGAGGGCCUGUUCAGGAGGAGGCAGAGGCAGCCUUCAGAGCCAGGUUUUCCUCCCUCCACGGGUGGAUGGAGAGGGUAGGGCAGAUGCCCCAGGUGGGGUAGGCAGUGGCCAUUUUCAUCCCAUGGCAUCCAUGUGGUCAGCCCUGUGGCCUGAUGGGAGGCCAGACCAGAAGAAUGGGGACCUCAGUGUCUGCCUCUAUCUCCCCAAAAAGCUCCUGUGGUCAUUCCGACUCAAUUUGGCUAAUUUGGUUGUUGGCAGAGGGACAGGACAGCUGGCUCAGGACCUGCUGAUUAUAGCUGCUCGAGUAUUUGAACAGAGGUAUUGAGUCCCUCAUGUCAUGGUUUUUUCUUGCAGAUAAACUAACCGUUUAACCUUUGUUCUGAGCGCCGGCGGACCCGCUGUUAAUUGCCCUGGCCCCCUCUGUCUCCACCAACCUGCCCCCCAGGGGGGAGGUCACAUGAGGACCCCCCCAACUCUUACCUUUGAUGAAAGUGUUCAGCGGAUCUGGUCCUGUUGCGUCAGCCGGAAGGUGGCUUCUUUCUAAAAAGUUAUUAGAUAAAUUCAUUUCUUUAAUGAUGGAAGUCCAGGCUUGGGUGCGUGCGCGCAUCGUCCGCAGUAGCAAUCAAUCGGACACACCCGCAGCCUUCCCCUGUUUUUCCCACAGGACUCCAUCCCAAGGUGCCUUUUCCCACGUUGCUGCAUUCGGGUGCCCCCGUGAUAUUUCUUUGUACUGUGUGCCAGGCACUGUUUUAGUUCUUUUAAUCCUUAUAUCAACAUGUGUGUUACUUUUAUUACCUCAUUUUUCAGAAGGGGAAGCUAAGGCCCAGGGACAAACCUCAAACCACUCUUGGGUCCGACCUCACAUCUCUAAUGGGGACUGACCAAGGCGGCCCCUCCUUCAGGCCUCAGGGCCAGCAGGUGAACCCUGGUCCUCAUGGUCCUCCAGCCUUUGCCCUCUGACUCCUGAGCUCUGGACAAGCCCCCGCUUCCUGCCAGAGCCUCAUUUUGCUUCUCCAGCAAAUGCACAUAGGAAUUCCUCUGAGUCUGGGGCCUGGGCCUCAGGUGCAACCGCAAGUGGAUCUCUUAGCUCCCUGAGCUCCGGCUCCACCAGCAAUUGUGAGUGGCAUCUUCCCAGGUGGUGGUCUGUCCUUCACCUGGGACCCCUGUCGUGAGGACUUCAGUAAUAUUUUGUCUUGCCCCUGGUGUCAAUCUGCACUUGCCCUUCCCUCGUUUAGCACACAGUAGGGCUGUUGGCAGCAGGUGAGGCCUGAGGCAACAGCUCGGUGGCCAACAGCCCCGUGAGCACUUUCUCUUCUCCCCUCCCAGGUGGCGUGGAGGUGCAUCGGCGGCUUCCUACCGGGAAGGAAGCAGAUGCCUGGCCCAGGAUCAAAUCAAAGGUCUGGAAAAUGAUCUUUUUUUUCCCCUGAUUUGUAAAUUCGACAAUUUGUAAAUGUGUAGACUCCUCAGAAUGGAACUAACUUGAGCCCUUCGUUCCCCAGCCGAGGCUCACUGCCCCCCGGAUGGGCAGUGAGUCGGUGGGUUCCUGAGGCCAGGGAGCAGCCCAGCCCUGCCCCUCGGGAUGACACACCUUCCCAGAGGGGUGUGGCGCCCUCCCAGGCUGACCUCCCAGCAGACCAGGUAGCCUUCCGGAGGAGCGGAUGUCUUCACGUUGAAUUACCCCAGCCCGGAGUGUCCCUGGCUCCCGUGUUGCCUGCUUCUGAUGUUCCCUAACUGAAACCUGCCUCAUGUUCCUCCCUGGGCCGAUGGGCAGUUUCAGAGGACAGAGCUGUCUGCUCUGCGGCGCUGGUUGGCGUGUUCCAAACACUGUCCAGAUUCUUGCCUCUGCUUUCAAGGGGCGCUGGGACUCUAGAAACUGAGAGGACUUUGAGAAGUUAGUGGCUUGUCCCAGAUCGGCUAGGAGGUGGGACCCGGGAUUCCAACCCAGAAUGAAGGCCCCAGAGUCGGUCUAAUAAUACUCUGUUGGUGAUGAUCUUGGCUGUGACCUCUGCGGGAAAUGAGCCAUGGACCAAGCAGUGUGAGUGAUGGUUAGUGUUGUUUUAAGGUUGGCUGGUGGGUUGAUGGGUGUGUAUGCAUUAUUAAACGUGAAUGCACACAGGUAAAGUCAAAGAUGGCCAAGCGUAGACCAAUGGGGAGACUGUGUCAUGAACCAGGGGGGUGAAUCUCCUUUGGCAUAACUGUCAGCAAAUUAAAAAAUAUUAUAACUAGGCCGUUCUUUUUGUAGGAAAUGAGCAAAUAAAAAGAAACAAUUAUAUUCAUGUUUAAUGAUAUUAAUUGUAUAUAUAUGUAUACAUUUAUAUUCAUAAAUUUUUAACAUAUAUCUGUUUAUAUAAAUGUAAUUGUUACUUAUUCUUGGGUUGAGUGGUAGGUUCAUGUAUCUUUAUUGAUUUAUUAAAAAUAAAUGGAUGAGUACAUAAAUAAAAUCAAAAAGGUCAAGCGUGGACUAAGGAAGACAGUGACCCAAGAUGUAUGAAUGCACAAUUCUGCAAAUUUGAGCGAGAUUUAAACAAAAAUAUCUGUUAUUUUAUUUAUUUUAGUAGCAUUCUAUAUUAAUUUAUACACUAUGGUUUAUAUAAACACUUCCUCAUUGGUGAAGUUUAGGCUAUUAACUCAAGGGGAAAGGUGCAUGUAGAGAUGUAAGGUAUUGGUAACUUUCUAUUUGUUGGAUAAGAUUCAUGGGUAUUCUUUUAUGGUGUUUUUAAAGGGAUGAAUAAAAUUUAAAAAGGCCAAGCAUGCACCAAUGAGGAUAAUGUUUCAUAAACUAAGGAUGAUUAAUUCAAUUAUACACAAGUGAUAGCUGUUAAAAAUGAUAUUCAUUUUUAAACAGUUGCUUUCUGUUGCACAACAUGGACACACUAGAGUUUAUUGACUCACACAAUAUUUAUGGGGAUUUUAGCUCUUAUUUGGGCGGAUAAAGUAUGUAAAGAAAAUGUAAGUAAUGGUCAAGGUACUUAAAUUUUUGGCUGGUAAGUUGUUCAAGACAAGGAAAUAAGCAAGUAAAUGAAUGAAUGAAUAAAUUAACAAAUAAAACAAGAGAGGGCAGACAUGGGCCAUGAAGAUAUUAUCUCAUUAUCCCAGAAUUAAGGUUAUUCUAAUUCUGUACAUCCAAGGUCCAUUUAAAAAAUGUGUUGGUUGAGGAGUAAAGAGUCAAUAUUCUUGUUUUUGCAUGGUGGUGUGUUGGAUGUCGAUUUCCAUCCUAAAAAUAAAUAAUUAUAUAAAUGUAUAAAAUGCAACAGAUAUCGAAAUAUCAGCUGGUGAUGAGAGUGGCCCAAGGAUUAAAGGAUUACAGUUACGUCAGUUCUGUGUUCUUGACUUCUAUAAAAAUAAUCUAGCCUGCUUCAUUCCUUUUCCCAGCUGUUUUGUUUUGCAUUGUGUAUAUGUACAGAGUUUCCUUAAGCAUUCCUCUGUGGAUAAAGACCUAGUCUAUUAAUUCUUUGAGCAAGGAGCACAAAGGAAGGUGAGAGAGAAAAUGUCAGUGUUCUACUUGUGGAGUAAGAGAUUGGAUUCAUGAUUGCUCACUAAAAACUUCUUUAGAGAUGAUCAAAUCAAAGAAAAGAGAAUCAGUAUGGACCAAAUGAUCAAUAAUUAUGAUUAAUCCAAUUUAGCUUCAUUAGGAAAAGUUCUAGACAAUUACCUGAGGGUAAAGGGUCUAUGCUAGAGCUGUCCAGUAGAACUUUUUGCCGUGAUGGACGUGUUCUAUAAUUUGUUCUGUCCAAUAUAGCAGCCACUAGCUAUGUGUGACUAUGAGCACUUGAAAUGUGGCUAAUGUGAAUGAAUAACUGAAUUUUUAAUUUUAGUUGAUUUUUAUUAAUUUGUGUUUAAAUAGUCAUGUGUGGCUAAUCUCUCAGGUGCAUUGAGUGGUUGGUUAAUGGGAGUUUCUUGAAUAUUAAAUAUGAAUAAAUAAAUAGAUGAAUUAAUAGAGUUAGUUAUGGGCCAGAGAGGAGGGUGUACCAUGAAAAAAGAUUGUAAUUAAUCCAGUUCUGCACAGCUGAGAUUCCCUGGCAAAAAAGUCAUGAAAGUUCAUGAAAAAUAGACAUAGGCUUAUUCACCUAUUUCAUCAACUAUUCAGUGUUACCUUGAAUGUCUGCCCCACAGUUUAUGUGAACAUUUCUCUAAUGUUGAAGAUCUAUGUAUCUGGGUGGGAAACGGUCAAAAAUCUAUUGUCAAAGUUGUAAUUGAUGGGUUGAAUAAUGGUUUUAUAUAUAUUUAUUAUAUUAUUUACUUCAAAAAAUGAAUAAUAAAUAAUAAGAGUCCAUGCAUGGUGCAAGGAUGGUAACGUGACAUGGAACGAAGUUUGUGAUUAAUACAAGUCAUCACAAACUGUGGUCCAUAAAUAAAAGGUCUCUUUUACAUUUGUUGGUGAGGAACAUAUGGCAGAUGUAAGUAAUUGUCAAUGUAUGUAAAGAGGACUAAACAUGGACCAGUGAUGAAAGUGUAUCGUGACCCAAAUAUUUAUGUUAAUACGUUUCUGCUCAACUGAAGUCCAUUAUAUAAAGGUCUUUGCUUCUCCAUUUGUGGAUAAAAAUUACAAAGGUUGUCUACCUUUCUAUCUAUCAUCUAUGACUUAUAUCUCUAUAUAUUAUAUAUGGAUAUAAAUAAUAGUUUUUCUUGGGUUUGAUGGUACAUUCAUGGUGAUUUCAUUGAUGAUAUUAUAAAAAUCAAUAAAUGAAUGAAUUCCUAAAAAUAAAGGGCAGGACAUGUAUGCAUUAGUCACUGCUGUGACAAUGCUGCAUAACAAGUAACCCACAAUUUCAGUGGCUGACAAAGUAGUAGCAACAACAACAUUUCUUUCUCACAUGUGGGUCGGUGGGCCUCUUGCAGCAGUUAUGCUGCAGGCUGUGGGCUGGGUUUGCAUCUGCACGCCCCCCCUACCCCCCUGCCUUCUUAUUCUAGGUCCCUAGAUAAAGGAGUUGUAGUGUCUAGGACAUACUCUUCUUAUGGUGAAGGCUUGACGCUCCAGAGGCUAAGCAAAACCACCCAAGCUCGUUUAAAGCCUCUGCUCUAAGUCCCAUGUGGUUUGUCACAUCCACUCAUACUCCAUUGGGCAAUGCAAGUCAUGGCCAGGCACAACAUACUGGUGUCGGGAAGGAUAUUCUUCCCAUGGGGGAGAGGGAAGGGAGAGGGAAUACCUGCUGAAAAACAGCAUAACCUGCCACAUUUCCCCCAAUUGGUAAGAAAUAUUUACUUCAUGUCCAUACGAGAAAUACAGUUAUUCUCUCUUCAAAACGUCCCGGAAGUCCAUAAAACCAGUGCUCCAGUUCAAAGUCCAGAGCAUCCUGAUCCGCUGCUGGUUUGGCUCUGCCUCUUCUUUAUUUAGAGACUUGUAAACUAGAGACAGGUUAUCUGUCCCCACAUGGUAAACAUGCUGUGUUGGAACCACUCCUGCUUGCAAAGGGAGAGAACAGGAGGCACAGAGCUGUCCACUGCAUCGCAGCUCUGGAACCCUGAUCGGCAGGGGCUGUGCGAUCUCCCUACCUGUGGCUGUCACCUGCAGGGGAAGGAGAAGAAAGACAGAUGUUGGUACUGGUCAUCAUUCUUAUUCUUACUUUAGGUGAGCAAUUCAAUGGCAUUCAUUGAAAUUAUAAUUGAGAAUUGUUAAUUGAUUAGAUCAGUAAAAAAUGGAGUAUUGUUUGUGGGUCAAUGGUGAGAAGGAGGGUCAAGCAUGGACCAAGGUUGAGAAUGUGGCACAAGCCAAGUGUUAUGGUUAAUCCAGUAUUUAACAACUGACGUUUAUUUAAAAAAUUUAAUAUCUUUCAGUCUUUUUCACAUCUGCUUUCUGUUCUGCAGGAUGAAUGCUCUAGAGCUGAUUAGCCAUUUUAUAAUGAUGAAUGGCUUCCCUCUGUGGGUAAGGAGCAUGGAGGCUGAUGUGAGUGACAGAGUUCUUGUUCUUGGUUUGGAUCCUUUGCUCAUGGAUGUUGACUGUAUAACCAAGAAACCAAUGGCUCCAUAUUUUGAUAAUAUCACAGGAGGCCAUGUGUGAACCAGCGAUGAGAGUGAUACGAACCAAGGAUUACGAUGAAUCCAAUUCAACACAACUUAAUCCUAUUAAAAAUACACUAUGGCCAUUUUAUUUAUGUUAUUCGCAUUUUAAUGUUCCAUAUUAAUUUUAUACCACUCUUGAUUUAAACAUUCCUCCAUUGAUAAAGAUUUAUGCUUGAGAGGGUAGCCCAUAGGAAGAUGGACAGAUAUUCUCAAUGUUCUAUUGUGGGAGAAGAUGGUGGGUUCAUAGUGGUUCAUUGAAUCAUCUUUGAAAUAUAGACGAAUUAAAAGAAAGAGGGCUAAGAACAGGCCAGUGAUGAGUGUGCGAGUGCUAUGGAGCAAGACUGUUGAUUGACUCAUGUUAUUGAUCAUUACAGAAAGACAUCUAGUGUAUUAUUUCUGUGGGAAAUUAUGCACAUGUGUUGUCCAGUACAGUGGCAACUAGCCACAGGUAGCUACUGUGCAUCUGGAAUGUGGCUGGUCUGAAUUGAUAUGUGAUCUAUGUGGAAAAUACACACCAAAUUUGGAAGAGUCAGAACAAAAAAUAAAAUAUUUCGUUAAUAGUUUAUAUUUAUUACAUGUUGAAAUGGAUAGUAUUUUAGAUAUAUUGGGUUAAAUAAAAUAUACAAUUGUAAUUGAUUUCACCUGUUUCUUUUUACUUUUAAAAAGUGUAGAUUCUAGAAAACUUAAAGUAUAUGAGUGGUGGGGCCGGCCCCAUGGUGUAGUGGUUAAGUUCAGUGUGCUCUGCUUCAGUGGCCCAAGAUGUGGGUUCAGAUCCUGGGUGCAGACUUACAUCACUUGCCAGCCAUGCUGUGGCGGUGACCCACAUAUAAAGUGGAGGAAGAUUGGCACAGAUGUUAGUUCAGGGCUAAUCUUCCUCAGCCAAAAAAAAAAAUAUAUAUAGAUAGAUAGAUAUCUAUCUAUCUAUCUAUAUAUAUAAGUGGCUUACAUUAUAUUUUUAUUGGCCAGCACAGCUAUAGACCAAUGAUAGGAAUAGUCAAGGAUCUUUUCCUUUGUGUUUUUCUGACCUAUGGGUGUUGAUAGCAUUUUUAUUAGCCAAUUAAUGGAUCAAUCAAUUAAAAGGGAAUGAAUAGGAAAAAGCAUACACUAAAUAUUAAGGUAUAUAUUGAAACAAGGAUUACUUUAAACAUUUUUUGAAACCUUGAAACCUGUAAAAAUAAUUUAAAGUGGUUAAUCCCUUUGGGUAAUGAACAUAUGAACAGAUGUGUGUAGUAAUCAAUGCUGUUGGUGUGUCGCUAGUCUUUUUUUCUUUUUUAAGAAAAUAAUCCACAUGGACAAAUCUCUAAUUAAAUAACUAAAUAGAAAAGAGUCAAGGAUGGCAAGUGCUGGGUGAGGACAGCAUAGAGGGCAAAGCUGUUGGUUGAUGCCUAUGGGCACCACUGAAAUCCACUGCAAACACUAUUAGUCUCAGUUCUGGGGAAAAUGAGCCUGUAGCCAGGGGUUAGGAACAUGAUGGGGUCCUAAUUGAGGCAUUUGAGGCUCAUGAAUUUUGAUUACCUUGUUGUGUAAAUGAAUCAAUGCAUAAAUUAAACAAAUGUAUAAAUGAAUGAAAAAAACAAAGGCAAGUGUGGACCAAUGAUAAGUGUAUAUAAUGAAGCAAGAAUUAUUAUUAAUAUGUUUUUGAAGCAAUGAAGUCCAUUUAAAAAAAAGGGCACUGAUGUCAAUUUCUAAGAAAGGGCAGAUUCUUAGAUAUUCUCAUAAUAGAUGUUUACGUAAAUAGGAAAAUUGAGGAGGACCAAUGUUAACAUUGUGUGAGAUGAUAAGAAUUAUAAUUAAUCCAGUUUAUUCCUUGAGUUCGUUAAACAGCAACAAAUAUCUAGUUGGUUAUCUCUGUAGAUAAUGAACAGGUUGACAGAUGUUAGUUUUAUUUAGAGUUUUUGACCAUUUGCUUCGGAUUCCAAGCUACAGAUUGUCAGGGAAUGAAUGAAUAAAUUUAUGUCACAGUCCGUUAGUUAAAAGGGGGCAAAUCAGUGACCAUCUGAUGAACAUAAGUUACAAAGCAAGUAUUAGGAUAAGUUCAGUCUUCGUUGCUGAUGUCCAUGAAGAGGACAUAAAGUCUAGGCUCCAACCUAUUUGUUUAAAGUUCACAGGUAGAUUCGUGUUAAGUUUUUGCGGAUAGUAGAUUUACUUUUUUUUUUGCCAAGGAAGAUUUGCCCUGAGCUAACAUCUUGCUAAUCUUCCUCUGUUUUGUAUGUGGGGUGCUGCCACAGCAUGGCUGCUGAUGGUCGUAUGGGUCUGCACCCGAGAUCUGAACCCAGGCUGCUGAAGCAGAGUGCACCAAACUUAACUACCCUGUGAGGCUGGCCCCUGGAUUUACUCUCGUUAAUUAUCUUCUAAGCAAUAGAUACAGGAUUAAAUUAAUUUGUAACUAAUCAAAUUAAAUAAUAAAUAAGCACAUAGAUAAAUACAUAAAGAGAGUCAAGAAUGAACACUGGAAAAAUGUGCCGUGAAACAAUUUUAGAUUAAUCCAACUUGGAACAAGUGAGGUCCAUCAAAGAAGGAAAAGAUGAAAGAAGGUACUUUAUUCAUUUUACAGUUGUUUAAUAUUUCGUUUUUCACCGCUGCUGAUUUACACAUUCCACCAGUGAUAAAGAUGUAGAUUUCUCACCUGUUGAGAGAGAAAACACAAGGAAAGAUGGAAGAUAGGGAAGUAAAUGAGACGUUCCUGGAUUUUCUUUGUUACGUGUUUAAAAUUUGAACAAAUUAAAGAAAGACUAAAGAACAGGGCCAAGCAUGGCUAUAAUGAGUGCGGGUUUGGAUAAAGAAUGUUGGCUGAUCCAUGUGUGCAGCAGUGAGGUCCACUGCGGUAAGAGGUCUCAUGUAUUCGUUCUGGGAGAAAUUUGCCAAAAGUCGGAAGUUAGUAAUAUUCUUGUAUCUUAUUCUUGCUUUGUUGUGAUUAAUGGAUAUUAAGUAAUUAUUAGUCAAUUAAUGCAUGAACUAAUGCACAAAUGUGUAAGUGAAUAAAGAAAAAAGUCCCAAGCCUGGAUCAAUGAUGAGUACCCUGGGGUGUCUGAACCAAGGAUUUUGAUUAAAAUCUGUAACUCUGACGUCCACUCUAAAAAUGAAUCUAAUUUCCUACCUUAAUGGGGCAUGAGCUUGUAGCUCCAGUUAGGAAUGCAGGCAUCUUGCUUUUGGCUUUGGUAGAUCUUAGGUAUGGAUCCUUUUAUUAGUGAACUAGGGCAUGAGUUAACAAGGAAACCUAUCAGUGAAUGCAGACAAAGCGGCCUGGAUAAGCUCUAAUUAUGAGAGUACGUAAUGAGAUAGGAAUUGUUAUUAGCACAGUGCUGAGGAGCCGAGGUCCAGUAUGCGAAGAGUGCAAGGCUUUUUCUGUGUCGAUUAGGAACGUGUGGGCAGAUGUAGGUAAGAGUCAGUGUUGUUUCUCGGUUGAUGGUUGUUAACUGUAUUAAGAAUUUUAUUAAGAAAAGGGGAAAAAGGAGAAACAUAACAAUCAAUUACAGAACUACCUAAUUAAAGACCAAGCAUGGGCCAAUGUUAAGAAUGCGUUAUAUGAGAGGAGUUACGAUUAAAUAAGUGCUCCUCAGUUAGCAUCGUUUUUGAAAAACACAUCUAGUUGUUUUUCUGUGGGCAUUGAGUUUAUGGGCAGAAGUUAGUGUUAUUUAGGACUCUUGCCCAGGGUAUGCUGGUUCACGAAUAUCGAUGAAGUGAAUGAAGGAAGUGAUUAUUUAAAGGAGGACAAACAUGGACCACUGAGGAUAGACUAUGUUGUUAAAAAAAGUUUAUUAAUCUCACUCUGCUCUUCUGAUGUCCAUAUAAAUAAAGGGGGACUGGGAUUCUGUGUGCUCUGGGUGAAGUGCAUCGAGACAGUUCCCUGUAGUUGUAUUUUAGACCAGUUUGCGUUUGAUUUGAAAAGAAUGAAAAUAUGAACAAGUUAUUGCAUGAGUAGAUAAAUACAAAACAAAUGAAAAAAUUUGUAAAGUAGGGUCAAGCAUGGAUCAUUGGUGAGACUAUGUCAAGACAGAAGGAUGUCAAUUUAUCCAAUUCUAAUCAAGGAAGACCCAUAAAGAAGAUGAUCUGGGCUCUUACCGCUGGAAGGUUUAAUGGACAGUUGGAACAGGCGUACUUCUCAGUUCCUCUGCUAGCAUGUAUAUCCAGCAACUGUCAUCAUAUCACAUUAAUUAACAUACAUUAACAUACAUUAAUAAUUAAAAUAAGUAAAAAGGGGACCAUUCUUAGGCUAAUGGAAUGGGAUGAAAACAGGGGUUUAUGAUAAAUCUGGUACAGCAGGACUAAGGUCUCUUAAAAAAAACUAAAUCUACACUGCUUUUUCAAUUUUCUAAAAUCUACUUUUUACUCCACAGAUUCAAUAUACCCAAUCUGAUUUAUUCGUUAUCCAGUGAUGAAGAUCUUGGCUGUCACUUCUGUGGAUAAGGAGCAGAGGAACUCAUGUAAGGAACAAAGUUCGUGUUCCUGGUGUGCAGUGCGUUUUCCCCAAGUGAACACCACAGAUGAUUUAGUCAUUCUCUGAUGCUAAAGCUCCUGGCUUUUACAAAACCUGUGGGUAAGGAGACAAGAGACUGAUGUAAGUGAUGGUUAAUGUUCUUGCUUGGGAGGUUGGUUUAUGGGUGCUGCUUUCAUUUUUCAAAGUAAUAAAUGGGUAUGUUAAUAAAUAAACCAAAUAACACCAGCACAGACCAGAAUUGAGAUUUAUGAUUAAUCUGAUUAGUACUACUAAAAUCCAAUAAAAAAGACUCCGAGUGUUUCAUUUAUUUUCAGGGCUGCUUCACAUUGUGUUUUAUUUUUCAUUGCACUUCAUUUAAGUACCUCUCCACUGAUAAAGAUUUAGGCAGUUAAUUCCUUGAGGGAGGAGCAGAGAGGAAGAUGGACAAUAUUGUUGGUGUUCUAGUUGUGGAGUAAGAUUAUAGGUCCCUUUGCUAUUUAUUGAACCAUCUUUAAAUGAAAAAAGGACCAAGCGGGGACCAAUGGAACUGACAUGAAACAAGGAUGAUGAUUAAUUUAUAUAUGUCAAAAGCACAUAUAUAUGUUGCAAAAAGCAGCUUCAUCUGUUAGCACUUUGGGAAACGGGCAUACAGACAGUUAUUAGUGAUCGUCAAGGAUGUUGUUCUUGGGCUUUUUGAUUCAUGAGAAUUGAUUAUAUUAUUAUUAGUGAAUCAAUGAAUAAAGGAAUAAACAAUGCAUAAAUAAAGGAAGAAAAAGAUGUCUAGUGUCAAUGAGUCAUGUCAAUGAGUGUUCCCAAAAGUAUAAAUCAAAGAUUUUGAUUAAACUCUGUAACUUUGAGGUUCAUUAGAGAAAAGAAAUCUAAUUAUUUCCUCUGUCGGGGAGGGGCUUGCAGCAGAAGUUAGGAGGAGUGGAAGAUCUGCUUCUCGAGCUUUGGUUCUUAAUGUCUGAAAUGUAUCGUAAGUGGAGCAAUGAAAGAAUGAAUAAAGAUGUGUAAAUGAAUGAUGGCCAAUUAAUUUGAGUCUGCACUGAAAUAAGGAUGAUUGUUAUAUUAUUUCCUGAACCAGAGUUCCAUAAGCUAAACAGGUCAGGUCUUCCUUACUGUCUUCCAUAAAGGAUCUAACUAUUGUGUGAGAGUCCAUAUUGUUGUUUUGGAUUCGUGGUUGGUAUGUGGUUGUUGGUUUUAUUUAGAAAAGGAACAAAUUAUUUACAUUAAAAGUAAUUGUUUAAGCAAGUGCCUAAUUGAAAGAAGGCCAAGCAUGGACUAACAUUGAGAACAUGAUGGGAAGUAUGCACACACAGUUCUCUUCACUGACUAUUGCUUAAAAAAGCAAAAAAGAAUCUAGCAGGUUCUGUCUGUGGGUAGUCAGCAUGUAGACAGAUAUUGGUAUCAGUCCAUGUUCUUGUCCAGUGUCUUGGCUGGCAUUCGUUUUGAAUGUAUUGUUAAAAAUGAGUGAACGAGUGAGUUCAUAUUUUGGCCAAUUAUUUAAAAGAUGGAAGAGCGUGGGUCAGUGAGGAGAUGUCAUGAAAGAACAAGAUAAUGAUUAAAUCAUUUUAGACGAAGAAAAAGAAAUCUAGACUUACCCCACUUUAGACAAGGUAUGUAUCAGCAGCUACAUGAAAUGGUAUUUCAAUUCUGGAUUACUGGUGGGUUUUACUCUUUUUCUCUUAAAAAUGAAUAAAUGAUCAAAUUAUUCUUUGAGUAAUUAAAUAAGAGGAUAACAUGAAUGAGUCAGUAAAUGUACAGAUUAGGGUAAAUUUUGGACCAGUGCUUCAUGGCACACUCUAAGCAGUUCACGACUAUGGCCCCUUAAAAAAGAUUAAUGAGGUGUGAACUAUGUGGUUAGGGGCUACGUAGAUGGAUAGUGGUACUGCUUACAUUUAUUACUCUUGGUGGAUUUAACAGUGUUCACUGCAUUAACUAAAAAUUAAUGGGCCAGCCCUGAUGGCCUAGCGGUUAGAGUUCAGCGCUCACUGCUUUGGCAGCCUGGGUUCCUUUCCUGGUCCCGGAACCACACCACCCGUCUGUCAGUUUCCAUGGUGUGGCAGCAGCUCACACGGAAGAACUAGAAGGAUUUACCACUAGGAUAUACAGCCAUGCACUUGGGCUUUGGGGAGAAAAAAAGAAGAGGAAGACUGGCAACAGAUGUUAGCGCGGGGUGAAUUUUUCCCUGCAGGACAAAAAAAAAAAAAAAAAAAAAAUUCAACACUAAAUAGUCAAUACAUAGAAAGCAGUCAUUCUUGAGUCAGUAAUGGGAACAUGAUAGGAAACAAAGUUUAUGAUUAAUCUAGUACUUCAUGACUCCAGUCCAUUAAAAAAAAAAGGUAUCUAGGCUGUUUGAUUCUUUAUAAGAUGUGCAUUUUAUUUCACAGAAUGAAAACAUCAGAGCUGGAUUUAGUUAUUCAAUAGUGAUAAAGAUUUUAGCUUUUACCCCCGUGGUCGAGGAGCCUAGAGGCUGUAGUAGAUACUGGUCAAAAUUCACGUCCUUGGUUUAGGUAGUUUGUUCAUCACCACAUUAUGCGAAAGGAAUAAGUGCUAAAUACAUAGAUAAAAUCAUGUAUUUAACAUCAAAAUAUUGGCCAUGCAGGGACCAAUAAUGGAAAUUAACCAAAGUUGACGGUUAAUUCAAUUCAGUGCAAUGGAGGUCAAUUAAAAAUGAUGGAGGGCUUUUAUUCAUUUUCAGAGUUUUUAAUAUAUUUUAUUUUGUACCAUGGUUAACUUAAACAUUUCUUCAAUGAUAAAGAUCUAGGCCGUUAAAUCCUCGAGAAGGGAGCAGAUAGGAACAAGGAAGAUAGUGUCAGUGUCCUCAUUGUGAGAUAGGACAGUGGUUGGUUGAUCAUUGUUUUGCAUCUGUUGUCUACUGCUCUGUAACAAAUUACCCUACAUUUUGAUGGCUUAAAACAAUAGGAAGCAUUUAUCUGUCACAGUUUCUAUGGGGCAGGAAUCCAGGAGAGGCUUAGUGGGCCAUUUUGGCUUAGGGGCUCUUGUGAGGUUGUACUCAAGAUGUCAGGUAGAAUUGCAGUCAUCUGAAAGCUUGACUGGGGCUGGAGGGUCUGCUUCCAUGGCUCCCUCACAGGGGUGGAGGGUUUGUGCCGCUUAUUGGUGGUGGGCCACAGUUUCUUCCUACAUGGACCUCUCCUCAGGACUGCUCAAGUGUCGUCACAGCAUGACCGCUGACUUCCCUUAGAGCAAUCAGUCCAAGAGAGAGGAAUGAGGAAGUCUCAGAGUGUUUAUAAGCUAGACUCGGAGGUCGUGCACCAUCACUGCUGCAGUAUUCUGUUGGUCAUAGAGGCCAGGCAUGGUUUAACACGGACCAUGGAUACCAGGAGUCUUGAUUCGUUGGGAGCCCUCUUGGAGGCUAGCUACCACACAUACUGUCUUUAAACAUGGAGAAAUUAAAUAAAAGAAGGGCAAGCACGGACAAAGUAUAAAUAUAGGAUUGAUGCGAAGUGAGGAGGUUGAAAAUCUGUAUGUAUAGUGCUGAGAGCCAUUGCAAAAAAGAUGUAGUCUCUUAGUUUUAUGGAAAACAAACCUAUAGACACAGCUUAGUAAGGUUGUAGGAUAUUGUUUUAGGUCUUUUUUUCUCUUUUUAGUGAGGAAGAUUGUCCUUGAGCUGACAUCUGUGCCAGUCUUCCUCUAUUUUAUAUGUGGGACACCGCCACAGUAUGGCUUGAUGAGCCAUGUGUAGGUCUGUGCCCAGGAUCCGAACCUGUGAACCCCGGGCUGCUGAAGUGGAGCAUGCAAACUUAGCCACUACGCCACCAGGCUGGCCCCUAGUUUUAGGUUUUUUGAUUCGUGUAUAUUGACUUUAUAAUUAUUAGUGACUUAACGAGGGAAUCAAUAAAUGAAGAUAUGAAGGAAUGAAGAAAAGGGUGCCAUGUUUGGACCAAUAAUGAAUAUCCUAGGGUGUCUAAACAAUGAUUUUGAUUAAACUCUACAACUGUGAGGUCAGAGACCUCGGUAAUGCCUAAAUGGUGAAUGAGUUUACAGCAGAAGUUAGUAAUACUCAGGGUUUUGCUCUUAGGCCAUUAAAGUUCAUAGGUCUGGAUUGUAUUACUAUAAGUGAACUCAUAAAUGAAUGAAUAAACAAAUAGAUAAAUUAAGACAAGGAGAGCCAUAUGUGGCCCAAUUAUGAGAGUGUGUAAUGUGUUUAUUAUCAUUAAUACAUUUCCUAAGCACUCAGUUCCAACGUAAAUUGAUUAAAUCUGAUAGCUAUUUGGGUAAGGAGCGUAGAGAGAUAAGUACCUAGAAAUCCAUGUUGUUGUUGUUCUGCACGGUUGGGGAAGUGCUGGUUGCUUAUUGAAAACAAGAAGAUAUGACCCAGUUGCUUAUAUCUGGGAAUAAUGAGCACAUGAAUCACUGUUAAUACCAUUCAGAUUUCUCAUCCAGUGUGUAUGUUCACAGAUAUUGAUGAUAUUAUGAGUGAAUGCAUAAGUACCUUUAUCUCUCAACCAGUUAUUUUGGAAAGGGUGGAGCAGGAUUUCUCAACCUCAUACUAUUGACAUCCCAGGCUUGAUAAUUCCUGGUUGUGGCAGGCUGUCCUGUAUGUUGUAGGAUGUGUAGUAACUUCACUGCCUCUACUCACUAGAUACCAAAGUUGACUUUCUUCUCCCAGUUGUGACAAUCAAAAAUGUCUCCAGACAUUGACAAAUAUCACCUGGGAGCAACAGUGCACCCAUUGAGAACCACUGGGGUAAAGCGUGGACCAAUGAGGAGCAUGUGUUGAAAAAACAAUGUGAAUUAUUUGUCCUGUUGUACUUAUUGAUACUCAGAUAAAGAAACAGACACAUAAACUAGACCCCUCCCACUUUGGGUCAGGUUCGUAUGUAUAGUUGCAUUUAAUUGUAUUGUAAUUUAGCUGUUGAUGGUUUGGUCAUAUUGUGUUUUCUCUGGAAAAAUAAACUGAUGUUCAAAUUAUUCAAAUUAGCUCAUGUACAAAAAUGAAUAAAUAAAGCAAUGAAUGAAUAAAUACAUUACAGAAGGUAGGGUCUAGGAUGGACUGUUGGUGAAAAUGUGCCAGGAAAGUAGUAUUUAAAUGUAUCCAGUCCUGCACAAGUGACAUUCAUUAUUAGGAAAAAUGUUCUAGGUUCUUACCAUGUGGGUAGAGAGUACGUAGAGGGAUACUUACAAUAGUCAUCUCUUAUUCUUGUGUUGGGUUAGUAAAUAACAUGCCAGACCAUUCUUGGACCAUUGAUUGAAAUGUGACAUGAAUCAAGGUUUAUGAUUAAUCUAGUACAGGCCUACUAAUACCCCUUAGAAAAUUUAAAUGUAGACUCUUAUAUACUUUUUAAAGUCUGCUUUUAUUCCACACAACGGGUACACCAUACCCAACUUAAUUAUUCUCCAUUGAUGAAAAUCUUGGCUGUCCUUUCUGUGGGUAAAAAGUAUGGGAACAGAUCUAAGUAACAGUCAAAGUUCAUGUUCUUGAUUUGGGGGGUUUGUUCAUGGGUUUUAUUAUUUCAGAGAAAUAAAUAUUUUUUUUAAAUACAUAUUUAAAGAAAAUAAAAAACAUGCAUUGACCAAUGAUAGGAAUGUAUUAUGAAAAACAAAAACAAAAUUAGGUUAUUCCAAUUCAACACAAGUGAGACUGUUUAAAAAAUUAAGAUGGAGGACAUUGCCUUCACUUCACUAUUCCAUUUUGUUUUUGCACCAUAGCUAAUUUAAAUUUUCUCAAGUGACCUAGGCUGUUGACUCUUUAAGGGGAGCACAUAAGAUGGUUGAUAUUGUCAGUGUUUUUGUUGUGGGGUAGGAUGAGGGGGUUCCUGCUCAUUUAUUGUUCCAUAGUUAAAAUACGUCUAAAUUAAACAGAAAGGAGCAAGCAUGGUUCAGCAAUGAGUACAAGAUUUCUAAGAAGCAAGGAAGUUAAUAAUCCAUGUAUGGGACAUUGAGAUUCAUCUGUUGAUCUUAGCAAUGUCAAGGUUCUUAUUGUUGAGAUUUUGGGAUUUUUGUGUGUUGAUUUUGUGAUUAUUAAUGAAUCAGUGAAUGAAUCAAUAAAACAAGGUUCAAAUGGUUGAAGUAAAAGAGUUGCAAACCCAGACCAAUAAUGAGUGUCCUGGGAUGGCUGAGUCAAGAAUUUUGAUUAAGCCCUAUACCUCUGAGAUACAUUAGAAAAAGAAAAUUAUUAUCUCUGUGGGAAAUGAGCGUAUAGGAAAAGUUAGGAAAAUUCAGAUCUUGUUCUUGGUCUGUUGAGGUUCUUGAGUAUAGAUUAUAUUUUUGUGAGUAAAUCAAUGCGUGAAUAAAAGAAUCAAAUAUGUAAAUGGAUAAAGACAAGGAGGGCCUUGAUUGGGCCAAGCUUAUGAGAGUAUAUAAUGAACUAAGGAACAGGACUAAUACCAUUUGGAUGUGCUGAAUUCCCCUAAAAUAAAUAGAUUAAGGCUCUUAUGCUUUUGGGUAAGGAACAUUAGAGGACAACUGUACGUAGGAGUCAGUGUUACUGUUGAUGGGUAACAGGUUUUUUAAAAUGUUGCCUCCUUUUGCAAAAGACUUCGUUAUUUUAGAGCAGUUUUAGGUGCAAAAUUUAGUGGAAUGUAGAGAUUUCCUGUAGUCUCUGCCUCCACACAUGCAUAGCCUCCCCCACUAUCAACAUCCCCCACAGGAGUGAUACAUUUCUUAAAACUGAUGAACCGACAUUGACAUCAUUAUCACUCAGAGUCCAUAAUUUACAUCAGGGUCCACUCUUGGUUGUAUAUUCAGUAGUUUUGGAUAAAUGUAUAAUGAUAUGUGUCCACCAUUAUAAUUUCAUACAGAAUAUUUCUCUGCCCUAAAAUUCCUCUGUGCUCUGCCUAUUUAUGCCUCUCUAACCUCUGGCAACUACUUUUACUGUCAUCAUAGUUUUGCCUUUUCCAGAAUCUCAUAUAGUUGGAAUCCUAGAGUUUGUAGCCUUUUCAUAUUGUCCUCUUUUACUUAGUAAUAUGCGUUUAGGUUCCUUCAUAUCUUUUCAUGGCUCCAUAGCUCAUUUCUUUGUAGUGCUAAAUAAUCUUCCAUUGUCUGGGUGGCCCACAGUUUAUUUAUUCAUUCACCUACUGAAGGACGUCUUGGUUGCUUCCAAGUUUUGGCAAUUAUGAAUGAAGCUGCUAUAAUUAUCCUUGUGCAGGUUUUUGUGUGGACGUAAGUUUUCAGCUCCUUUGAGUAAAUACCAAGGAGUGCAAUUCCUGCCUUGUAUGGUAAGAGUAUGUUUAAUUUUGCAGAAAACUGGCACAUUGUCUUCCAUUCCCACCAGCAAUGAAUGAGAGUUCCUGUCGCUCCACAUGCUCUCCAGCAUUUGGUGUUAUGAGUGUUCUGGAUUUUGGACAUUCUGAUAACUAUGUAGUGGUGUCUCGUUGUUUUAAUUUGUGUUUCCCAAAUGACAGAGGAUGUGGAGCAUCUUUUCAUGUGCUUAUUUGCCAUCUGUAUAUCUUCUUUGGUGAGGAGUCUGUUAAGGUCUUUGGCUCAUUUUUUAAUUGGGUUGUUUGUUUUCUUAUUGUUUAUUUUUAAGAGUUCUUUGUAUGUUUUGAAUAACAGUCCUUUAUCAGAUAUGUCUUUUGCAAAUAUUUUCUCCUAGUCUGUGCCUUGUUUUUUGUUCCCUUGACAGUUUCUUCAAAGAGCAGAAACUUAAUUUUAAUGAAUUCCAGCUCACCAAUUAUUUCUCUUACAUAUUGUCUUUUGUGAUGUAUAUAAAAAGUCAUUGCCAAACCCAGGGUCAUCUAGAUUUUCUCCUUUGUUAUCUUCUAGGAGGUUUAUAGUUUUACAUUUUACAUUUCAGUCUGUGAUCCAUUUUGAGUUAAUUUUUGUGAAGUGUAUAAGGCCUGUGUCUAGAUUCCUUUUUUUUUAUGUGGAUGUCCAGUUAUUCCAGCAUCAUUUGUUGAAAAGACUGUCUUUGCUCCAUUGUGUUGCCUUUGAUCCUUUAUCAAAGAUCAGUUGACUGUCUUUAUGUGGGCCUAUUUCUGGGCUCCCUAUUCUAUUCUAUGUAUCCAUUUGUCUUUUCUUUUGCUAAUACCACACUGUCUCAAUUUCUGUAGCUUUAUACUAAAUCUUGGAGUCAGGUAUUGCUGGUCCUUCAACUUUGUUUUUCUUCAAUAUUGUGUUAGCUAUUCUGGGUCUUUUGCCUAUCCGUUCAAACUUUAGAAUCAGUUUCUCUACAUUCACCAAACAAAUUGCUGGGUUUUUGAUUGGUAUUGUAUUGAAUCUAUAGGUCAAUUUGGAAAGACCUGACAUCUUGACAAUAUUGAGUCUUCCUAUCCAUGAACAUGGAAUAUCUCUCUAUUUAUUCUUUGAUUGCUUUCCUCAGAGCUUUGUAGUUUUUCUGUUAUAGUUCUUAUGUAUAUUUUGUUUGAUUUGUAGCUAAGUAUUUCAUUUUUGGGGUGCUAAUGGGAAUAGUAUUUUUUUAAAUUUCAAAUUCUACUUAUUCAUUGCUGGUAUAUAGGAAAGCAACUGACUUUUAUAUAUUAACCUCGUAUCCUGCAAUCUUGCUAUAAUCGCUUAUUAGUUCCAGGAGAUUUUUGGUUGAUUCUUUCAAAUCUACAUAGAUGACCAUGCCAUCUGCAAACAAGGACAGUUUAAUUUCUUCCUUCACUGAUAAUAUAAGUUUUAUUUCCUUUUCUUGCCUUAUUGCAUUAGCUAUAACUUCCAGUACAAUAUUGAAAAGGAGUGGUGAGAGGGCUUCUAGUUUCUAGUCAUUAUGAUGUCAGCUCUAGUUCUUUUGUAGAUAUUCUUUGUCAAGUUGAGGAAAUUCCUCUCUAUUCCUAGUUUACUGAGAAUUUUUAUCAUGAAUGGGUGUUGAAGUUUGUCAGAUUUUCUGCACCCGAUGACAUGAUCAUGUGAUUUUUCUUCCUUAGCUUGUUGAUGUGAUGGAUUACAUUAAUUGACUUUUGAGGGUUGAACCAGCCUUGCAUACUUGGGAUAAGUUCUAGUCAAUCAUAGUAUAUUUCUUUUUAUACAUUAUUGGAUUCGAUUUGUUAAUAUUUUGUUGAGACUUGUGCAUCUAUGUUCAUGAGAGAUAGUGUUCUGUACUUUUCUUAUUUCUUUUUCUGGGUUCAAUAUUAGGGUAGUGUUGGCCUCCUAGAAUGAGUUAGGUAGUAUAUCUUCUGUGUCUAUCUUCUGAAAGAGACUUUAGAGAAUUGGUAUAAUUUCUCCCUUAAAUAGUAGGUAGAAUUCAUCAGUGAAGCAACCUAGGCCUGGUGCUUUCUGUUUUGGAAGGUUAUUAAUUGUUGAUUUAAUUUCUUUAAUAGAUAUUUGCCUAUUCAUAUUGUCUACUUCUUCUUGUAUGAAUUUCGGCAAACUUUGUCUUUCAAGGAGUUGGUCCAUUUCAUGUCUGUUAUCAAAUUUGGGGCAUAGAAUACUUCCUAGUAUUCCUUGAACGUCCUUUUAACGUCUAAGCGAUUUGUAACGAUGUCCCCUCUUUCAUUUCAGAUAUUACAAUUUGUGCCCUCUCUCUUUUUUUCCUCAGUUAGCCUGGCUAGAGGCUUACUGAUUUUUCCAAAGAACCAGCUUUCAGUUUCAUUGAUUUUUCUCUGUUGGUUUGUUUUCAGUUUCAUUGAUUUCUACUUUAAUUUUUAUUAUUUCUUUCAUUCUGCUUAUUUUGAGUUUAAUUUGUUCUUCUUUUUCAAGUUUCCUAAAGUAGAAACCUAGAUUACUGAUUUUAGAUCUUUCUUCUUUGCUUUAAAUAAAAAUUGUGUAUAUUUAAGGUAUACAACAUGAUGUUUUCAUAUACAUAUACAUAGUGAAAUGAUUACUACAGUGAAGCUAAUUAACAUUAAUUUCCUCACAGUUAUUGUUUGUUUGUUUUUGUCAUAAGAGCAACUGAAAUCUACUCUAUAAGCAAAUUUCCAGUAUACAAUAUGAUAUUAUUAACUAUUGUUAUCAUGCUGUACAUUUGAUCUCUAGAACUUUUUCAUCCCACAUAACUGCAACUUUGUACCUUUGACUAAUAUCUGUGUAUUUCCUCCACUUCCCCACUCCUGGUAACCACUGUUCUACUCUCUGCUUCUGUGAAAGUGACUUUUUUAGAUUCCACAUAUAAGUGAAAUCGUGCAGUAUUUUUCUUUCUAUGUCUAUCUUUUUUCACUUAGCAUAAUAUUCUCCAGGUUUACUUACAUUGUUGCAAAUGAAAGCAUCACCUUUUUUUAAGGCUUAAUAAUAUUCUACUGUAGAUAUACCACAAUUGCUUUGUUUAUUCAUCUGUCAACAGACGCUUAGGUCUUCUUUUCUUAUAUAUGCAUUUAAUGCUAUAAAUUUCCCUACAAGUACUGCUUUUGUUGCAUCCAUUUUUUUGGGUGGGGGGAACAGGAAACAUUUACAUAAAUAGACAAUUGAUUGAGAAUAUAUCUCAUUGAAUGAGAAGCAAGUAUAGACACAUGUUGGCAAAGUGUUAUAUGAGAAGUAUUGGGAUUGAUCAGAUCGUAUUCACUAAACUUUAAUAACAACCCAAAAGUGAUCUAGUCAGUUAUUUCUGUGACUAACAAGUAGAUAGACAGAUGUUAGUAUCAUUCAGGAUUUAUUUCUAGUGUCUUUGCAUUCAUAGAUAUUGACAUGUUAUAAUUCAAUGAAUGAAUAAAAUUCUGUUUUAGUUAUAUAAAAUAAGACAAAGCUCACAUCAAUGAAGACCAUGUCGUAGGUGGCACUGAUAAUUAUUAAUUUGAGUUUUCACUACUGAUGUUUAUAGAAAGAAAAAAUUCCUAGCCCACCCCAGUUUUUGCUAAGGUAUGUGUAGGUGAUGGCAUAUAACAGUAUUUCUGUUGUGAAUUACUGGCUGGUUUGCCAUUUCACCUUUGUAUAAUGAGCAUAUGGUCAAAUCAUUCCAUGAGUAAUUAAAUAAAUGAAUAAUCGAAUGAACAAAUGAACAUAUAAAAUGCAAUCAACCAUGAGUCAUCACUGAGAGCUUGAAAUUAGGAUGCAAAUGUACCCAAUUCUGUAAAAGUAGCAUUCAUUCAAAUGUUCUUUUAUUCUGUGAAAAGUUUUAAAAUAUAAAGAUAUUUUUGAUAGACAUUUUUCUUAUUCUUAUUCAGCAGUGGCUAUUACAUUGUUUAAAAGUAAAAGUAAAAUACUAUCCUAAUUAAACUAUUUAGUUUUACAUAAUUAGUAUACAUUAAAAAAUUAGGAUAAUUCUGCUUUUUCCUCCCCAGAAUGACCAUGGGACAGUGGACUUACUCAUUUUCUAAGUGGGUAAAGAACACAGAGACAAACGUAAGUCCCACUGCAAGUUCCCAUCCUUGGUUGGGAUGCUUUGUUCACUAGUGUUUAGCGUUAUUUGAAAAGAACCAAUGUCUGUAUACGAACUAAAAUUCCCCAAGUAUGGACCAGUGAUGGGAAUAUGUUAUGAAUCAAAAAUCGUGUUUAAUCUAAUUCGGCACAACUGAAAUGAUUAAAAAAGAUAGUAGUCGUUUCCUUCAUUUUCAGAACUAUUUAAUAUUACAUUUUACUUUCCUCCACCAACGACUUAAACGUUUUCACAUUGGUAUAGUCUUGGCUGAUAACCGUUUGUGUGGCAGCCCAUAAGAAAAUGGAAGAUGUUGGGUCUGAGAAGUGACUAAAAAUGGUGGUUUCCUCAGUUUUCAUUGACCCAUCUUCAGAACAUGGGCUUAAAAAUUAAAUAGACGACAGCCACAGAAGGACCAAUGGUGAAUGUGGAUUUGGUGUGAGGCAUGUUCUCUGAGGUCCAUUGUCAAAGGAGACUAGUCUAUUCAGUCUAUGGGGAAAGAGCCACUAAUGGGGAGAUCUUGUUUCUGGAAUUUUAUGAUUGUAUUGUUAUUCAUGGAUCAAUGAAUAAAUAAGUAAAUGAAGAUAUAAAGGAAGGAAAACAUGCCUGGACCAAUGAUGAGUACCAUGGGGUAUCUGAAACAGGAGCUUUGAUUAAACCCAUAUCAACUCUGAGGUCCAUUACAGAGAGACGUGGAGUUAUUCCCUCUGCGGGAAAUGAGCCCAUGGUACCCUGUGCUGGGGCUUUUGUGGUUCUUGGGGGUGGAUUGUGUUUUUAUUAUAAAAUUGGCCCACAAAUAAAUAAAAUGUAUCAAAGAAUGAGAAAAAGAAGACAAGUCAUGCACCUAUUAUUAAGGAAUGUAAUGAAACAUGGAUUACUAUUAAAAUGUGGCUGAGACUCUGACUUCCAUUAAGUUACUAGUAAAGGCUCUGACUGCUCUAAAAAGGAGUAUAUGGUCAUUUGUAGGUAACACUCUAGAGUUUUUGUUUUUUGGUGGUGGUGGGUUGCUGACCGAUUGUUUUAUUAAGGAAUGGAAAGACAUUUACUCAGUUGGUUGGUUAAAUAACCACAUAAUUGAGAGCUAGGCAGAGACCAAUGAUAACAGUGAUUUGUAUGACAACACUCAUAGUUAAUCCAGUCUUUUUUUUACCGAUUUUUAUUGAAACAAUAAGAAACGAGCUAGUCUCUUAUUCUUGCUGUCAAUGACUGUGUCCAGUGGAUAAGAUUACAGAUACCUGUGCCUUUGCAUAAGAGAAAGAAGGUAUAAUUUUGUAUUUCAAUCUAUUUUUCAAAAGUCAGCAAACCAUGGACCAGUUAGGAGCCAUGUUUUAAUAUGAGGAUAAUGGUUCAUCUUGUUUUCCAAUGACGGAUAUUCUAAGAAAAAUUCUAGUCUCUUCUAUAUUUUGAAAGGUGCAUCUGGACAUCUCCAAGUUGUAAUAAUUUGGUUCUGAGUUAGUGUUUAACCAUUAUAAAUUUUCAUUAGAAAAAUGUGGAUAUGGUAUUAUUAUUCCCUGAAUAAUAAAAUAAAUUAGUGAGUGAAUUUGUAAAUCUGUAACAAUUUGUAGAGCGUUGGUGAGAUUGUAUCAUGAAACAAAUGAAACAUGUCCAAUUCUGCACAAAUAAGUCCAGUAAAAAGAUGAUCUUGGCUCCUCCUUUCUGCACAGCAAGUGAAUUUGUUUAGUAGUAAAACUUCAGUAAGUAAAUAAAGAGUGCCCUUCUUGGGAAGAUGAUGAGAAUGUGUUAUGAAGUAGGGUUCAUGAUUAAUCUAGUCCUCCUGACAAAUUUCAACUUAAAAACCUAACUCUAUGUUCCUUGUUUUUAAAAAUAGGCCUUUUGUUUUUCUUUAUAGAAGAACAAGACAGAGCUGAUCUAAUCAUCCUGUAACUGUGUAGGCCCUGGCUCUUACUUCUGGGACCAAGGAGCAUGAACACUGAUAGUGAACAUAAGACAGCCGAUUUCAUCAUUUAAUAAAGAAUUGUUAUCGUGAGCAAGGAGCAUAAAGACAAAUAUAAAGUGAAUGCACUCUACCAGAUUUGGUUGUCAUCUCGUGGUGAAGAUCUUGCCUUUUACCUCUUUGGGUAAAAAGAGGUCAAUUCAUUGUCCAUUGAUGGGGAUCUUGACUGUUACUUCUGUGAGUAAGGAACAAUGUAAGUAGCAAAGGUUCUCUUCUUGGUUUGUAUGGUUUGUUCACAUGAGCUCACUGAGGUAGUUCAAUAGAACAACAUCCAAUAACACCAACUAUGGACCAAUAGUGGGAAUGUGUUAUGGGCCAAGGAGUAGAAUUAACCCAUGUUAGCACAAAUGAGAUUCAUUUCUUAAAUUGAUGGAAGGCAUUUAAUUAAUUUUCAUAACCGUUUGCUAUUUCAUAUUAUUUCUGCACCACAGUUGAUUUAAGCAUUUCCAUAUUGGUAGAGAGCCAGGCUGUUUGCUAUUUAGAGGAAGCCCUUGGAAGGUGGAACAUAUUGUCUGUGUUCUAGAAGCGGGGUACCAUUGUGGUUUUUGGUUGUUUAUUAUACCAUGUUUAAAAUUGGAUAAAUUAAAUGAACAUGGCCCAAUCAUGGAUCGUUUUUAGGGAGGGCACUGUUAUGAAACCAGGUUUACACUGAGAUCUAGUGUAAAAGUUCUGGGAGAAAUCAGUCUAGAGACAGAUCAUAGUUAAAUCAAGGACCUUGUUCUCGGGAGUUUGUGAUUCAUGCGAAAGUGAAGAUAGAAAUGCAUGAAGAAGAGGAGUGCCAGGCCUGGACCAAUGAUGAGAUUGGAGGGUGUCUGAAUCAAAACUUUUGAUUAAAGCCAUCUGGAACUCUGAGGUCCAUUAUUAAAAAGUGUCCUCCUUUCUUCCUCUACGGAAAUGAGCUUAUCACAGAAGUUCAGAACUUUCAGGCAUCUUGACCUUGGGCAUACACAUUUCAUAAGUACGGAUUUAAUUUUUAUAAGUAAAUCAAGGCAUGAGUGAAUGAAGAAAUGUCAAAAUGGGUAAAUAUAAGGAAAGUUGUACAUUGGCCAAUGAUGAGGCAUGGGUUAUUAUUAAACAUUUCUGUAGCACUGAAUUCCAGUGAAAUAUAUUCAUAUAUCUCUUUUGGAAGGAGUGUAUAGACAGAUAUAUAUAAGACUCAAUUUUAUUGUUUGAUGUAGGUGGUUAUUUGCUGGUUGGUUGUUUUAGAGAAGGGAAAAUUAUGUAAAUAAAUAAUUUAUUAAGUAGUUAUUUAAUUGGAAAAAGAAUGAGCAUAGUUCAACUUGAGAAUAUGCCUUAUGAAAAGACUUAUUAUUAAUCUCCCUCUGUUCACUGCGUUUUAUUAAAAACAAGGAAAAGCAUUUGGUUUUUGAAUCUCUGUGGGCAAUGUAAUAGACAUAUCGAGACAGAGCAAUAUUAUUCGAGUUUCCUAAGGUUAGUUAAUUCCCAGUUAUUGAUAAAUUACUACGUGUGAAUAGAUUAUGUCCUAAUCACAGUCAGUAGUUAAAAACGGGACAAAACAUGGCCCUGUAAGAAGCAAGAAUAAUGAUUAAUCUUUGUCUGUACUACUGAUCCUCUCUUCCUAGUUUAGGUUUGGGCAUUUACACACACAAGGGGCAUUUCUAUUCUAGGUUGUUCAUGGCUUUACCAUUGUGUAUGUUUGUGUGUUAGUAUAUUUGAAUAUAUGAUCAAAUAUUCCAUGAGUCAUUUCAUAGACGAAUAAACAAAACAAUGAACGAUUGAGUUAACAUAUAAAUAGGGUCAAGCGUAGAUCUUGGUGAGGAUGUGCCAUGAAUGACAAAUUUAAAUUCACCCAUUUCUAUACGAAUUGAGUCCAUUAAAAAAAAGAGUAUUUAGGCUCUUGCCUACACGGGCAGGACUGUGUGGACAGAUAUGUAGAAUAUCAUAGUCCUUAUUUUUGAAUGAUGAACGUGGCAGUGUUCAUUGUUACUUAAAAUUAGCAGUCACAUCAGGAAAUAAAGGGGGCUGUUCUUGGGUCAGUGAUGAAAGUGAGACUUGAAUCAACUUCAUGAUUAACCUAAUACCACACAACUAAUGUCCUUUAAAUCAAGCUAAACCUGGACUCUUCCUUCUUCUAAAUGUUGGCAUUGGACUCCACAGAAGGAAGCCCAUGGCUGAUUCAGUCAGGCUCUGCUGCUGAAGAUCUCACCUGUUACCUUUGUGGGUAUGGAAUCUGAUGACUAAUGUAGAUAAUAGUCAGAAGAUCUUGUCAGUUGGGGUAAAUUUUUUAUUAGUGUUUAUUGAAUUAUUGAAAUUAAGCCAUACAUAGACUGAUGAUAUGAAUGUGUUACGAAACAAAGAUUACGGUUAAUCUGUUUUAAUAGAAUUUUGGUUUGAAUAAGAUGGAAGACAUUCUGUUCAUUUUCAAAGCUGAUAGUAAUCCACCUGUGUGUACUACAUUUGAUUUAAACGUUUAUCUAGUAAUAAAAUCUAGGGCUGCACUGUCCAAUGUGGUUGCCGCUAACCACAUGUGGCUAUUUAAAUUUAAAAUAAUUGAAAUUAAAUGAAUUUUCAAUUGGGUUCCUCAGUUGCACUAGCCACAUUUCAAGUACUUAGGAGCUACGGGUGGCUAAUGGUGACCGAAUUGUACAGUGCAGUUAUAACACAUUCACAUUAUCAGGCAAAGUUCUAUCUGAAAACUCCUCGUCGAUGGAGGAGUGCAUAGCAAGAUGGAAGAUAGUUGAAAUAGGGUGUGUAUGAAGCAAGAAUGUUCAUUGAUCCAUACAUACGUCAUUGAGGGCCACUGCAUAAAGAGAUCAAGUCUCUCGAGAAAAGAUCUAGUUUAUGGGAAGAGAGCCUAUAAACAGAUCUUGGUCAUAUUCAAGGAUCUUGUUCUUGGCUUUUUAUUUUUAUUCAUAGAUAUUGAUUUUAUUGCUGUUAGUGGAUCAAUGAAUGGAUCAAUAAACAAAGUGUAAAUGAAGAAAAAGAUUGCUUAGCCUGGAUCAAUGAUGAGUACCCUGGGGUGUCUGAAAUCAAGGAUUUUGAUUAAACCCUGUGACUCUGAGGUCCAUUACGGAAAGAUUCCUCUUGUUAUCUCUAUGGGAAGUGAGCUUAUUCUAGGAGUUAAAAAUAUUCAAAAGUUUGUUCUUGGGCUUCUGUGUAUUGUAUUUUCAGUAAAUCAAAGCAUGAAUAAAUUAAGAAAUGUAUAAAUGAAUGAAGACAAAAAGAAUUAUUCCUGAGCCAAAUAUGAGAGUAUGUAAUGUAAUAUAGGUAAUAUAAAAAUCAUUAUCAAUCCAUUUCUGAAGCACUGAGUUCUAGUAAAAGAAAUUGAUUAAAGCUGAGCCUUUGGGGUAAGGAGCGCUGAGAUAAACGGAUGUAAGAGCCCAUGUUGUUUUUCUGGGUUGGGUUGUUGGUUUUUUGUUUUAUUAAGAGAAGGGCAAAACGUUUAAUUAUUGAUUAAAUACAUAAUUAAGAGAGGGCUUACACCCUGGCCUAUGUUGAGAAUCUGUCACGUUACCAGUUAUGAUUAAUCCAAUCAUCUUCACUAUUUUUUAGUUUAAAAAAGAUAAGGAAAAAUCAUCUGAUCUUUUUCCUGCACCUAAUGAGCAUAUGGACAGGCAUUAAUAUUGUCUUGUUUCCGUGGAGUUGCAAAUAUUACAAAUAUAUAAAAGAUAAGUUAAUAUUUUAAUCAAUUAUUUGAAGGAAGGCAAAGCGUGGACCAGUGAGGAGCGCGUGUUAGGAAACAAGGCGAGCGAUGAAUGUAGUUCUACACAAUUGCUCUCCAGACAAAGAAAACAGACCUAGGCUCUUGUUGAGUGUGUUUACAUAGGAUUCCUCUUUCUGGCUUUUUGGUAAGAGUUUCUUUGAAAAAUGCAAGAUAAAUGACUCCAUGUCUAACCAAAUACAUACAUACAUAGAUAAAGGUGGGCAAACGCGGACCAUUGCUGCGGAUGUGCUCGAAUUUAGGACUCAGAUUAAUCUAAUUCUUUCCAAGCAAAGCUCAUUUAGAAAGAACAUAUGGCUCUUACUGGGCUCGGGAGGGGACAUAGAAACAGGCAUGUGCAAUAGUUCUUAUUCCUUUGUCUGGUGUUGGUUUCAAAAGUGUUCAUUAUAUCAGUUAAAUUUAAUAGUCAAAUCAAUUGUUCAAUCAAUAAGUAUGUCUUUCAGAGUUUUAAUAUGCAGCAAGCACUAAGGUUUAUUCCUAAUCAAUUAUUGUUGCCUUGAACUCAAUUUGAAAAAAUCUAAAUCAAGGCUGUUCUAUCUAUUUACCUAGUCUAAUCUCAUCUACUAUUAUAUUUGCUUUAUACUCCAGAGAAUGGGCGCACCGUGAUUCAGUUAAGGAGUGUAGAAUCUUAUGGUGGGCAGUCGAGCUGAUUGAAGCAUCUUCCGUGAUCGGAAGCUCCAUAUGUAGGAGAAUGGAGAUGAGUAAUGGGUGCACUGGAGGUGGUUUAAGGAUUCUUCUGUGGUGACAAGAUGUCUGGUUGUCUCUCUGUGUUUGGCACAUAGAAACAAAUAAUGAACACAUCGAAGCUGAUUUAAGAAUUAUGCCUUGGUCAACAAUCUCUAUAUUUGUCUGUAGGAGCAUGGAAACCAACGUGAGUAAUAGUCAGUGUUCUCAUCUUACUUUGGGUGGUUUGUUUAGGAUAUUCUCUGUAAUAUUUUUAAAAAGUACUCAAUAUAAGAUAAAAGACCACCCAUGGUCCAGUGAUUAAAAUGGAAAUAUAUGAAACAUUAUGUUGAUUAAUCUAUCUUUACAACAGUGAGGAUGAUCAAUGAAAGAGAUUAGGCAAUGAUUCUAAAGAAAAAUGAUAAAGACACUGAAGGCUCUUGUCCUUGAGUUUUGUGAUUCAUAGAUAUUUAUUUAAUUACUAUUAGUCAAUUGAUGAAUUAAUCAUUGAACAAAUGUAGAUAGGAAUGGAGAAAAAGAGGCCCAGAUCUGGACCAAUGAUGGUGACUGGUGGCGUACGAGUCAUGAACGAUGAAUGCUACGUGUCUGGAAGUCUGAGGUCCAAGAUAAAACAAAAUCUAGUGUUUCUUCUCUCACAAGUGACCCCAUGGAUCCAUGCUAGGAAUAUUCAAGGAUAUUGUUCUUGUAAUCUUGGAUUCAUAGAUUUCUAUAUUAUUAAUAUAAAUGGAUCAAUGGUAGAACCAAUAAAUAUAUAAAUUAAAAAAACAAAGAUGAAGCCUUGUCUGCCUAUGAAUAUGUGUGGUGAGGCAAGAUAUAUUAUUAAUAUAAGCUGAUGCAUGUUAAGAAAUAAAUGGACCAACGGUGUUACCUCUUUUUCUAAGGAUCAUAUCAUACUUAUAUUUAUGCUUAUAUAUGUAUCUAAAUUAUGAAAAAUAAUAAAUACCUUUAUGACUGAUUAAACAAAAUGAGCAAAACAAGGACCAAUUUAGAAGACGGUCUCAAGUUUCCAUAUCAUCUGCUCUGCUCUGUACUCCUCAGAUGGAUGCUCUCGAGUGGGUUUAAGCAUCUUCUAUGAUCACAUGCUCGACAGUUGCCUCUGUGUAAUGAGUAUAGAGACCAGUGUAAGUAAUAAAGUUCAUGCCUUUGUUUCAGAGGUUUCUUUCCCCCGGUAUUCACUGUAUUGUUAAAAGUGUGAAAUAUAAUCCAAGACACAAACUAUCAUGAAUGCUAACUAUGAGUUUGGUCUGCAGUGUUAUAUUUAUUAAUCCAUACAUGAAACAUUGAUGGUAAUGAAAGACAUAGCAAUGUGCAAAUGAUACUAUAGGCAGAUGCAGAAUAUUGCUUUUAUUCUUGGGGUUUUGUGAAUCAGUGAGUUUUAAAAAUUAAUGUUAGUGAAUUAGUGAAUUAAUGAGUAAACUUAUGCAGAUGAGAGUGAAGAAAAAGAGGCCCACAUAUGGACCAAUGAUGACGACUGGUGCGUAUGAGUCAUGGAUGAUGAAUAUUACGUGUCUGAAACUCUGAGGUCCAACAAAAAAGAAAUAUAAUUUAUUGCCUCUGUUUGACAUGAUAUUAUAGACAUAUAUUACGAAAAUAAAAAAUAUAGAAAAUAAAAACCAAUUUUCUUGGUUUGUGUUUCUGAAGUUUGAUUUUACUGUAAAAAAAUGGCCCAAAGAAACCAUCACUGUAAAAGCAUAAAUAGUUAAAAGUUAAGUGUAGAAGUAUAAAUAGCGUAAAAGGUAAUGAAGGGGGUGGAGCACGUCCACUCUUAAUGUAUGUGCUGAGGUGAUGAAACAAUGAACAUUUACUGAGAAUGCUGAAGUUCGCUAAGAAAUGUAAAUGGUUCACGUGUCUUACCUCUUCAGCUAAGUAUGAUAUAGGCAAUGAAUAAUGGUUUAAGUUCUUGUUCUGAGUUAGUGUUAGGUUCACUAUUGUUCAAUUUUUUAAGAUAAAAGUAAUGAAUAUGUCCCCAAUUUGCUAUAUUCAUAAAUAACUUACUAAAUGAAGGUGGAAUGUAUGCAUCAGUAGAGAAUAUCUCAAUCUUGUCAUUAUCUGUUCUGCUUUGUACUCCUCAGAAUAGACACCUGAACUUAUUUAAGCGUUUGGCCAUGAUCAGGAGCUCCAUCGAUGCCCCCGUGCACGAGCGUGGAGACCAAUAAUGGAGGCGAGAGCUUCUGUCACGAUCAAGAUCUUCGUGUUGCCUCUGUUGGAAAGAGACCAAGGUGAGUAAUACAGUCAUGUGUCACAUAACCAUUUUUCAGUCAACAACUGACCACAUAUAUGAGAGUGGUCCUGUAAGAUUAAUACCACGUAGCCUAGGUGUGUAGUAGGCUAUUCCAUCUAGGUUUGUGUAAGUUCACCUAUGAUGUUUACACCAGGACAAAACUGCUUAAUGAUGCAUUUCUCAGAAUGUAUCCCCAUUGUUAAGUGACACCUGACUGUAGUCAAAGUUUUUGUCUUAGAUUGGGUUAUUUGUUUAAAGGUAUUCAUUGAAUUAUUGAAACAUAUUAAAGAUAAUAAAAAAGUUAACUAUGGUCCAAUGAUAAAUAUGAUAUGAAGCAUGUUGAUGAAUAAAUACUGUGCAACGUUGAGGUCAAUUAAUGAAAGAGAAUCAGUCCGUAUGGGAAAUGAUUCUAUAGAGAAAUGUUAGGGAUAUUCAAAGAUCUUUUUCUUGAAUUUUGUGAAUUAUAUGUUCAUUUUAUUAUUAUUAAUUAAUUAAUGAUUUAUUUGAUACAAAUAAAGAAAUGAAUGAAGAAGAAGAGACCCAAACCUGAACCAAUGAUGAUGACAAGUGGCAUAUGGGUCAUGGAUGGUGAAUAAGAUGUGCCUGGAACUCUGAGGUCCAACACAAAACAUAAUUAACCACAUCCCUCUUUUGGAAAGCGUCCUGUAGAUAGAUAUUAGAAAUAUACAAAAAUCAUGUUCUUAACCUGUAUUCAUUGAUUUAGAUUUGUUAUUAUUAAUGGAUCAAUGAAAACCAUUAAAGAAAUAUAAAUAAAUAGAUAAGAACACAGUGAAGUAUUGUCCAAGUGUGAAUAUAUGUGGUGAGGCAAGAAUUAUUAUUGUUAAAAAUUGAAACAGUGAUACUCCUUAAGAACUAAAGGGAUUGGGGCUGGACGUGUGGCCUAGUGGUUAAGUUUGUGCUCUCCACUCGGCGGCCCAGGUUUGUGGGUUCGGACCCUGGUCACAGACCUACACCACUUGUCAGUGAUGUGGUGGUGACCCACAUACAAAAUAGAGGAAGGUUGGCAUAGAUGUUAGCUCAGGGACAAUCUUCCUCAAGCAAAAAGAGGAGGAUUGGCAAUGGAUGUUACUGCAGGGCAAAUCUUACUCAGCAAAAGAAAAGAAAGAAAGAAAGAAAGAAAUGGAUUAAGAGUACCACCUCUUUGACUAAGGAUCACAUAGACUGUGAUAAAUAAGAGUAAAUUUUAUUUUCUAGAUCAGUCUCAAAUUUGAGGUUGCUCUUUUCAUUAAGAGAAAAGAAUCUAUGUUAUGAAAAAUAAAUACCUAAAUAACUGAAUAAAUGAAAUAUAGAAAAGAAGGAUCCGUUCAGAUGAGGCCUCAGUGUUUUUUUCAUCAUCUGUUCUGCUUUAUGUCCUCCGAAGGGACAUACUGGAGCUGAUGGAAGAAUUCUUUCACUGCUGCACCCUCUUUGUUGGCUCUGUGUGUUAGGUGCAUGGAGCACAACGUGAGUAAUAAAGAUCGUGUCUUCAUUUGACAGGUUUUUUAAUAAGGGCACUUGCUGUAUUAUUAAAAGUGUGAAUAUUAUUCAAAAGGCCAACCAUGGCCAAUGAUACAUAUGGGAUUAUUACCAAGUGUUAUAUUUAUUAAUCCAUCUAAGAUAGAUUAAGGAUAAUUAAUGAAAGAGAUAUAUCAAUGUGAUAAAUGAUUUUCUAGGCAGAUGUAGAAUAUUCAAGGUUCUUAUUCUUCAUUUUUUUGUGUGAAUUAUAGGGUUUUAAAAUUAAUAUUAGUAAAUUAAGGAAUUAAUCAGUGAAAUAAUAUAUAAGAGAAUGGAGAAAAAGAGGCGAAAAUAUGGACCUACGGCUGGUGGUGUAGGAGUCACGGAUGAUGAAUACUAUGUUUUGAACUCUGAGGUCUGACACAAAAAGAAGUGUAGUUUAUUGCCUCUGUUUGAAGUGACCCCAUAGACUGAUUUUGGGAAUGUAAAAGGAUCGUUUUCUUAGCUGGUCUUCAUGGAUUUUGAUUCUCUUGUCAUAAAUGAUCGAUUUAAGAAUCAGUGUACAAAUAUAAAAAAGUACAGGUGAAGAGCAUGCAGCAUAUGCACUCUUCAUAUAUGUGGUGAGGCAAUGAGACAAUUAAAAUGUGCUGAAAAUACUGAACAGUGGAGAUGAUGCCUCAAUCCUCUUAUCCUCUGCUUUGCCUUUUACGUCUUAGAAAGAAAACACCUGAAAUGGUUUAAGCAUCUGCCCUGUUCAGGAGCCCCAAAGUAGCCUCUCUCUGUAGGAACAUUUAGUCCAGUGUGAGUAACCAUCAAAGUUCUUGUGUUGGUUUGGGUGGUUUGUUUAGGGUAUCACUGUAAUAAUUUAAAAAGUAUUAAAUAUAAGAAGAAAGGCCCACCAUGGUCCAGUGAUUAAAUUGGAAAUGCAUGAAACAUUAUGUUGAUCGAUCUAUCUUUACAGCAGUAAACAUGAUUAAUGAAAGACGGGUAUUCAGUUAGACAUUGGUUCUAGAGAAAGCUGAUAGGGAUACCGAAGGCUCUUGUCCUUGCGUUUUUGUGAUUCAUAGAUUUAUUUAAUUAUUAUUGUUAGAUUGAUGAAUUAAUAUAUAAACAAAUGUAGAGGUGAAUGAAGAAAAAGAGGCCCAAACUGGGACCAAUGAUGAUGACUGGUGGCGGACGAGUCGUGUACGAUGAAUGCUACGUGUCUGGAAGUCUGAGGUCCAAGAGAAAGCAAAAUCUGGUCUGUUUCCUCUCUUGCAAAUGAUCCUAUGGAUCGAUGUUAGGAACGUACAAGGAUGUUGUUCUUGUAAUUUCGGAUUCAUGGAUUUCUAUAUUAUCAAUAUAAAUGAAUCAAUGAUAGAACCAAUAAACAAAUAUAGAGAUAAAGAAAAAUAAAAAUGAAGUCAUGUCCAUCAAUGAAGAUAUGUGGUGAGGCAAGAUACACUAUUAAUAUGAGCUGAAGAAAUUGAUGGAUGUUAAGAAGUAAAUGGACCGGUGGUGUUACCUGUUUCUCUAAAGAUCAUUUAAAGACCCACACUGAUAAGUAAUAUUUAGUUUUAUAAGCCUGGGCCGGUCUCGAGUUGGGGAUGUUAAUUUUGUAAUAUGUAUGUUUAUAUUUUCUUAUGUAUAUAUGUUCUGAAAAAUUAACAAAUACCCAAAUAACUGGAAAAAUGAAAUGAGGAAAACAAGGACUCAUGGAGAAAAGAUUUUGAUUUUUAAUUACUUGCUCUGUCUUAUACUCCUCAGAAUGGACACACUCAAGAUGAUUUAACUAUUUUUAUGGUCCCGAGAUCUGUGGUUUCCUCUGUGUGUUAAGAGCGUAGAGACUAAUAACGAGCUGAUUUAAGCAUCUUUUGUGGUCCCCAGCUCUGUGGUUGCAUCCGUGUGUUAGGAGCAUAGAGACCAAUAAUGGACAUGCUCCAGCUGAUUUAAGGAUUCUUCCAUGCUCACACGUUCUAUGGAUGCAUCUGUGUGUUACAGUGUGGGGAACAAUGUUCUGCCGAUGCUGCCUGUUGGGAAACAACGUUUUGAGAAUCGCUGAUAAUAGGCAGAUCUAUGUGACGUUAGUUAAUGUCUUUGCUCUGCAUCAGUGAAUGGAUGUACCUGAACUGAUUGAAGCAUUCUGAAAAGACCAAGAGCUCUAGGCCGCCGCUGUGUUUAGGAAUGUAUAUUUAAAGUUUUCCCUGAACAUUCCUUAAUUGAUAAAGAUAUAAGCUAUUUUCAUGAUGAGGAAAAAGCACUUAGGAGAUGGGGCGUGCUCACUGCUAAUCCAGCUUCUACCGUGAUCUCAGGAUCAGAAGCUUCUGGUUGCCACUAUGUGUGGGGACCCGUGUGAGUAAUAGAUUUCUUGUCAAGGUUUGGGUGGUUUGCCUAAGGGUAUUCACUGUGUAAAGACCUAUGAAAUAUAAUCACAGAAGGCCAGUCAUAGCGUAAUAAUGAAGCCAGUGUUGAUGUGAGGCAUGCUGUUGGUUAAUUGAUUUACUAAAUAUUGAGGUCAAAUAGAGAAAGAGAUCUAGUCUCUGUGAGAAAUAAUUCUAUAGACAGAUGUUAGGAAUUUUCAGGAAACUUCUUCAUGGGUUUUUGUGAUUCCUGUGAAUUUAUUUUAUUAUUAUUUGUGAAUUGUUGAAUUAAUAGAGAAGAUGAAGAAUAAAAGGGAAAACCUGGACCAGUGGUGAUGGCCGGUGCAUGUGAGUCAUACACAGUGAGUAGUGCAUGUCUGAAACUCAGAAGUCCAACACGAAAGGAAUCUAGCACAUUCACCCUGUUUGAAGUGUUCCUGUAGGCAUACGUCAGGAAUAUACAAGGAUAUUUUUGUUGGAUUUCUGGCCAUGGAUUUUUAAAAAUACUGUUAUAAAAGAAUCAAUGGCAGAAUAAAUGAACAAAUAUAUAAAUGAAUAAAGAAGGAGGUGAAGCAUUGUUUAUUGUCAAAAUAUGUAAUAGGUAAAAAUAAUAUUAACAAAUUGGAAUGAAAAACAAAAGGACCAAGUGUAUGACAUCUUUCACUAAAUCUUGAUAUAGACAGUAAUAAGUAAUGGUUGUAAGUUUGAUGUUUGAUUUAUUAAGAGAAAAAUAAAUAAAUAUUACUAGAAAUAAAUAAAUCCCUGACUAUGUAUAUGAAUGGUGGGAAGUAUGGAUCAAUGGAGAGCAUUUCUCAACCUUUUUGUUACCUUCUCUGCUUGCUACCUUUCAGGACAGGUGUUGGAGCUGAUUUUAGCUUCUGCCAUGAUCAAGAUUGUCAUGUUGCCUGUGUGUUAGGAAAAAGAUUAAGAAUGGACACACUUGAGGUGACUUAAGCAUCUUCCACGAUCUUGAGCUCUGUGGUCGCAUCAUGCAUUAGGAAUGUGGAACCGAUAAUGGAUGCCCUUGAGCUGAUUUAAGCAUCUUCCAUGGUCAGGAGUUCUGUGGUUGCACCUGUGUGUUAGGAGCAUGGAAAACAAUAAUGGAUAUAUUCCAGCUGAUUUAAGCGUCCUCCCUGGUCAGGAGCUCUGUCGUUGCAUCUCUGUUUGAGCAGCAAGGAGACCAACACUGGGUGCCGUCAAGGUGAUUUAAGGAUUCGUCUGUGGUCACAAGGUCUCGUUGCAUUCGUGUGUUAGGAGACCAUAAUGGUCGCAUUCAAGCUGAUUUGAGCACUCCGCCCUGGUCAGGAGCUUUCUGGUUGCAUCUAUGCAUUAAGCUCAUGGAGAGCAAUCAUAAACGUACGAGAGAUGAUUUAGCAUCUUCCGUGGACGUGAGCUAUGUGGUUGCCUCUCUAUAAUAGGAGGAUGGAGAUUAAUAACCGCCACCCUGGACCGGAUUUAAGGACUCUUGAUCACCAGCUCUAGGUGCAUCUGUUUUUUAGGAGCCUGGAGACCUGUAAUAGAAGCUGAAAGAUUUCAUUGUGAUCUAUUGUGAUCAAGCUUGUCAUGUUCCUUUAUUGUAGGAAAGAGACCAAGGUGAGUCAUGGUUAAAGUUCUUCUCUUGGUUUGGGUCAUUAGUUUAAGGGUUUUCAUGGUAUUGUUAACAAGUAAUCAACAUUGUCAAAAAAUUAACUAUGGCCCAAUGAUAAAUAUGAUAUGAAACAUUAUGUUGAUUAGUUGAUAAUAUGUAGCUUCGAUAUUUAUAAAUGAAAGAGAUAUAAUCUAUUUUGGCAAUGAUUCUAUAGAGGAAAGUUAGGGAUACUCAGUUAUCUUUGUUUUUUGUUAAUUGUAUAUUUUAUCAUCAUCAGUGAAGUAAUAAUUUAAUUGCUACAAAUAUAUAAAUGAAUGACCUAAAAGUGGACCUCUCAUGAACCCACCAUGACGCCUGGUGGCAGAUGUCAUAGGUGAUGAACAUGUGUCUGGAACCCUGAGGUCCAACACAAUACAUACUGUAUUUUCUCUGUUUAUUUGAUUCUGUUGACAUAUGUUAGGAAUGUAUAAAGAUCAUGUUCUUAUUUUGGGUUAAUAGAUUUGUAUUUUUUAUUAUUACUAGAAUAAUGAUAGAAACAUUGAAUAAAUAGAAAUAAUAGAUUAAGAAGAAAAGGGGAGUUCUUGUCUAACUAUGAACAUACAUGGUGAGGCAAGAAAUAUUAAUGAAAACUGCGAACACUGGUGCCCAUUAAGUAAUAAGUGGAUCAAGGGUGUCACCUCUUUGGCCAAGGAUCAUACAGACAUGAAUAACUGAGAGUCACUUUUAUUGUUCUGGGUCAGUCUUAAGUUUGAAGUUGAUCUUUUUGUUAAGAGGAAAAACUUACGUUAUGAAAAAUUUAUGAACUCCUGAAUGACUAAGUAAAUGAAAUUUGGAAAGGAAGAAUCAAUGGGGAUAAAAGUUUGGGGUUUUUCUGUCAUUGAUUGUGCUUUGUACUUCCCAAAAUGGACACAUUUGAGCUGAUGGAGCCUUAGCCCAUGGUGGCAAGCUGUAUGAUUGCACCUCUCCGCCGGAAGCUCAGAGAUCAAGGUGAGUAAUAGUCCAAAUUCUUGUCUUGGUUUUAGUGAUUUUUUUUUUCAGUGUAUUCAGUGUAUUAUUCAAAAGUUCCAUAUAGAGUCAUAGAAGACCAACUGUAGCUCAGUGAUAAAUACUGAAUUUUAUGAAACAUUAUAUUGAUUAAUGCAUAAAUGAAAAACAGCCUAAAUUUUAAAAAGUGAUAUGUUAAAGUGAGAAUGAUUCUAUAUACAGCUUAGAGAUGUCAUGACUCUUUUUGUUUUUGUGUGAAUAAUAGAGUUUUGAAAUUAUCGUUAGUGAAUUAAUGAAUUAGUCAAUAAACAACGUAGACGCGAAUGCAGAAAAGGAAGGACCGUAUUGGGCCACUGGCGACUACUGGCGGCAGUGAGUUGUGUAUGAUGAGCGCGUGUCUGGCACUCUGUGGUCCACGGAAGUGGGAUCUGCUCCAUUGUCCUAUUUGAAGUGACUCUAUAGACAGAGGUCGGGAAUAUACAAAAUCUUAUUUUUGGUUAUUUUUUUUUCAUUUAUUUAUUUUCGGAUGUACAUCAUAAUAUAUUUCGAAUUCUGUGUAGCUUACAUCAUGUUCACCACCUGUUAUUUUUGGUCUUUAUGUUCCUGCAUGUUCUACUUUUAUAUAAUUGGAUUGAUAAAAUACUCAAUGAACACAAAUAAACAAACAUGAAAGCAGUGAAUUAUAUUGUCCAAUUAUAAAAAUAUGUGGUUAGGCAAGGAAUAGUAUUAAUAUAUAUUUAAAUCACUGAUAAUGUGCAAGAUUGAGGACUAUUAAUGGUAGAGAUAUAGUCUAUUUGGGAAAUUAUUCUGUAGACUGAUAUUAGAAAUAUUCAAAGAUCUUGUUCUUUUUCAAAAAAUUUAGUUUAUUUUUAUUGAUAUGCAAUGACAUAUUAUAUUAGUUUCAGGUGUACAGCAUAAUGAUUUGAUAUAUGUAUAUAUAGCCUAAUGAUCACCACAAUAAGUCUAGUAAAAUCUGUCACCAUACAUCGUUACAAACAUUUAUUUUCUUGUGAUGAGAACUUUUAAGAUUUACUCUUUUCUGAACUUUCAAAUAUGCAAUACAGUAUUAUUAACUAUACUUCCCAUGCUGUGCGUUAUUUCCCUGUGACUUAUUUAUUUUCUAACUGGAAGUUUGUACCUUUUGAUCCCUUCAACCAUUUUGCCCACCCCCAAGCCCCAGCUCUGUUCUCUGUAUCUAUGAACUCUGUGUUUUCUUUCUUUCUUUUUUAGAUUCCGCACAUACGUGAGAGCAUACAGUCUCACUUAAGUCUGUGUGACUGACUUCACUUAGCAUAAGGCCCUCAAGGUCCAUCUGUGUUGUCUCAAAUGGCAGGAUUUCCUUCUUUUUUAUGGCUGAAUAAUAUUCCAUUGUACAAAUAUACCACUUCUUUAUUCAUCCAUCAGUGGACACUUGUUAUUUCCAUAUCUUGGCUAUUGUAAGUAAUGCUGCAAUGAACAUGGGGGUGCGUAUUUUUUUGAGUUAGUGUUUUCAUUUUUUCAGACAAAUACCCAGAAGUGGAAUUGCUGGAUCACAUGGUAGUUGUAUUUUUAAUUUUUGGAGGAACCUCCAUACUAUUUUCCAUAGUGGCUGCACCAAAUUGUAUUCCAACCAACAGUGCACAAGGCUCCCCUUUUCUCCGCAUCCUUGCCAAUGCUUCUUGCUUUUUGUCUUUUUGGUAAUAGCAGUUCCGACAGGUUUAGGUGAUGUCCCAUUGCGGUUUUGAUUUGUAUUUCCAUGAUUAUUAGUGAUGUUGAGCACCUUUUCAUGUACCUGUUCGCCAUCUCUAUGUCUUCUGUUCUUGAGUUUUUGUGAACUAUGUAUUUUUAAAAUUAUUAUCAAUGAGCUAAUGAUUUGAUUAAUACAAAUGUAGAAAUUAACAAAGAAAAGGAGUGUCAAAUGUGGAUCGGCGAUGAUGACUGAUGGUGUACGAGUCAGGGACAAUGAAAAUAUGUGUCUGAAACUCCGGGGUCCAGUGCAGAAUAUAACUAGUCUAUUCCUUCUGCUGGAAUUGUUUCUGUAGAGAGAUGUUAGGAAUGUAAAGAGGUCAUAUUCUUAUGUUGACAGAAUCAUUAACCAAAUAUAAAUACGUAUAUAAAAAAGAUGAUGGUGAAGCCUCAUCUGUCUAUUAACAUAUGUGAUGAGGAAAAUAUAUUAUUAAUACAAAUUUAAAACACUGAUGUCCAUUAAGAAAUAAGUAGAUCAAGAAAUCACCUCUUUGACCAAAGUCAGCUAAACACAGAUGAAUACAGAUUAUUUUAAUUAUCCUGCGUCAGUCUCAAGAUGGAAUUUUUUCCUUUUUAAGAUAAAAAUUAUAUAUUAAAAAAUAAUAACUAACUAAAUACUGAGUAAAUGAAACAUGGAAAGCAAGCAUCAGUGGAGAUUUGAUAUCCGUUUUAUCAUCUGCUCUUCUGUAUUCUCCUCAGAGCGAAAACGCUCAAGAUGAUGUGAGCAUCUUCCGUGGUCACAAACUCUAUAGUUGUGACUUUAUAAUAGGAGCCUGGAGAACAAUGUGAGUAAUAGUUGAAGUUCUUGCCUUGGUUUCAGUGUUUUGGUUGCUUUUAAGAUUAUUCACUGUAUUACUAAAAAGUAUGGAAUAUAAGCUAAGAAGGCAACUGUAUCUCAGUGUUAAAUAUGGGAUAUAUGAAACAUUCUAUUGGUUAAUGCACAUGUGGAAAACUGAAGGUUAAUUAAUGAAAGAUCCAUUGCUUGAGAAUAUCUGUCUUCAUUUUAAGGGCAUCAAGGCUCUUCUUGGUUUUUGUGAACAACAGGGUUUUAAAAUUGUUGGUGAAUUAAUGAUUUAAUCAGUAUACAAAUAGAAUGUAGUGAGAACAAAGAGGUAAUAUUGGAUCGGUGAUGACUACUGGUGGGGUACGAGUCAUAUAUGAUGAAUACGUGUCUGGAACUCUGAGGUCCAACAUAAAGUUAAUCUAGUCCAUUCCCCUUGUUUGCAGGUGAGAAAUAUACCAAGAUCUUGUUUUUGGUGUUAGUGUUCCUGCAUUUUCACCUAUUAUUAUAAUUGGAUAAAUGAGAGGAUCUACAACAUAUAAAUAAAAAAUACGAAGCAUUGUCCAAUUAUAAAAAUACGUGAUGAGGCAAGAAAUAGUAUUUAUAUAUUAUGAAAACCAUGAAGUUCAAUUAGAAACAAAUAGCAUAUGAUUGUUACCUGUAUGGUGGAGAAUGACGUAGACAGGAUAAGUUAUAGAAAAUGCUCCUAGUCUCAGUCACUGGUAAAAUCGAACUUCAUUUUCUUAAGGGAAAAAAGCAUAUACACCAAAUUAAUGAUUGCCUAAAUGACUGACUACAUGAGAGGUGAAAGGCAAGGAUCAAUGGAGAGAAUCUCUCAACCUUUUUUAUCAUCUGCUCUGCCCUCUACUCCUUAGAAUGGACACAUUGGACCUGACUUAAGGAUUCUUCCUUGAUCAUGAGCCCUAGGGUUGCAUCUCUGUUUUAGGAGUCUGGAGACCACUGCGAGUGAUAAUCAAAUCUCUUGUCUUGGUUUGGGUGGUUUUUUUAAAGGGUAUUCAUUGUAUUGAUAAAAAGUGUGAAAUAUACUCAAAGACAGUUAACUGUGUCCUAGUGAGAAAUAUGGGAUUAACAAGAAGCAUUGUAUUGCUUAAUGCUUAUAUGAAAAACUGGUAGUAAAUAUGACAGAUACAAUGAUGUGAGGAUGCUCCCAAAUACCUAUUAGAGCUACUAAGGCCUUCUUGGGUUUUUGUGAAUCACAGAGUUUUCAAAGUGUAAUUAGUGAAUUAAUGAAUUAAUCAAUAAACAAUAUAGAAUGAAUGAAGAGAGGCUGCCAGCAUAUGAGUCAUAGAUGAUAAAUAAUAUGUGUCUGGAACUCUGAGUUCCCACAGUAAAGAAAUGUGGUCCUUCUCUUUAUGCAUUUUCAUUCUUUAAUUGGAUCACUGAAACAGCAGUGAGGAAAUCUAUAAAAAAUAAAGUUGAAUUGUUGAAGCAUCGUCGAAUUUUUACAAUAUGUGGGGAGGCCAGAUAUGCUAUUAAUAUAAUUUGAAAACUCUGAAGUCCCAAGAGAAAUAAAUGGAAUAUGACUAUAACCUCUUUGGCUAGGAUGAGAUAGACAGGAUUAAUUGUAGAUGGUGUUUAUGUUCUGGGUCACUGGGAAGUUCAAAGUAGUUCUUAAAAGAGAGUGAAAUAAAUAUGCUCCAAUAAUGAUCGGCUGAAUGACUGACUAAAUGAACGAUGUAAAGGGAGGAUGGAGAGAAUGGAGAGACUAUCUCAACCUUUGCAUCACCAUUUCUGCUUGAUAUUCUUCAGAAUGGAGGUUCUAGUUGAUUUCAGGUUCUGCUCCGAUCAAGAUUGUUUGUUGCCUCCACGUUAGGAGAGAGACCAAGAAUGGACGCGGAAGCUGAUUUAGCAUCUCUCAGAUCCAGGCGCUCUAUGGUUGCAUCUGUGUAAUAGGAGGACGGAGAUUAAUAAGAGACACACUGCGCCUGUUUAAGGAUUCCUCCUUGUCGUGAGCCCUAGGGUUGCAUCUCUGUUUUAGGAGCCUGGAGACCAGUAAGGGACACACUGAAGCUGAUUGUAAUACUCUUCCAAGGGCGUGAGCUCUCUCAAUGCGUCUCUGUGCUAGGAGCAUGUGGACCAACAACAGAUGCUCGAGCUGAUUUCAUCUUCUAUCGUGAUCAAGAUUGUCAUGUUCCCUUUGUGUUAGGAAAGAUACUAAGAAUGGACACACUCAGGCUGAGUAAGCAGUAUUCCAUGGUGUGGAGUUUAUGAUUGCACCUUUGCGUUAGGAGCACAGAGACCAAUAGUGGGCGCCCUGGACCUGAUUUAAGGAUUCUUUCCGGAUCACAAGCCCUGGGGCUGCAUCCCAGUUCUAGGAGCCUAGAGAGCAAGAAUGGAUGACUUGAGCUGAUUCUAACGUUCUUCCAAGAUCGCCAGCUCUCUGAAUGCAUCUCUGUUGUAGGAGCAUGGAGACCACUAACAGAUAAUCAGGUUGAUUUCAUCUACUGCUGUGGUCAAGAUUGUUACGUUGGCAUCAUGUCAGUGAGUAAUAGUCAAAAACAGACGCACUUGUGCUGACUUAGCAUCUCUCAUGGUCACGAGCCUCUAUAUUACAGGAGAACGGAGAUUAAUUCCUCAGAACGGACGCAUUGGACCUGAUUUAAGAAUUCAUCCUUGAUCCUGAGACCUAGGAUUGCAUCUCUGUUACGGGAAUCUGGAGACCAAUAAUGGAACCACCUGAGGUGAAUUAAGCGUCUUCCAUGGUCACGAGCUCUCUGCUUUCGUCUCUGUUGUAGGAGCAUGGAGACCAUUUCGAGCUGAUUUGAGGAGUGUUCCAUGAUGGCAAGCGCUGUGACUGUAUCUCCAUGUUAGGAAGAAAAAGACGAGUAACGUUGCACACGGCUGAUGUGGGCGCUCCCCCAUGGUCCCAAGCUGUUUGCACCUGUGCGUUAAGAGCGUGGAGAACAAUAAUGGACUCUGGAACUGAUUUCAGCUUUUGCUGUCGUCAAGAUUGUCAUGCUGCCUCUGUGUAUGGAAGGAGAUCAAGCCCCCCAGUACAUAGUUGUAUAUUCUUCGAUGUGGGUCCUUCUAGUUGUGGCAUGUGGGACGCUGCCUCAGCGUGGUCUGAUGAGCAGCGCCAUGUCCGCGCCCAGGACUCGAACCAACGAAACACUGGGCCACCUGCAGCGGAGCGCGCGAACUUAACCACUCGGCCACGGGGCCAGCCCCCAAAGAUCACAUUCUUGUAUUAAUUUCAUGGGCGGAUAUUUGUUAUUAUUAGUGGAAUAAUAGAAGUAUUAAAUAUAUAAAGAAGAAUAGGGUGAAGCAUUGUUCACUUAAUGAAUGUAUGUUAUAAGGCAAAGGAAAUUAUUAAUAACAUUGAAAACAUUGAUGCCUAUUAAGAAAUUAAUGGAUCGAGAGGUCAUCUCUGUGCUAAGGAUCAUAUAGACACUGAUAAGGAAGAGUCAAUUUUUUUCCUGCGUCAAUUUUAAGACUGAGUUUUUCUUUUUGUUAGGAUAAAAAAGAGAUAUUAAUAAAAAGUAAUAAAUACCUAAAUACUGAGUUGAUGAAAUGCAGAAAGCAAGGAUCAAUGGUGAUUAGGUCUCAAUUGUUUUAUCAUCUCCUCUGCUCCGUACCCCUCGGAACGGACGCACUCAAGCUAAUUUAGCAUCUUCCAUGGCAGGAGCUCCACGGUUGCGUCUGUAUGACAGGAGGACAGAGAUUAAUAAUGGAUGCACUCAAGCUUCUUUAAGCAUGUUCCACGGUCAUGAUCUUUAUGUUUGCACCUGUGUGUUAGGAGCAUGGAGACCAAUGUGAGUAAUAGUCGAAGUUCUCAUGUUGGUUUGAGUGGUUCAAAGAAGGCCAAUCAUACCAAUGUUUAAUAUCAGAUUGAUAUGAAGCAUUGCAUUGAUUAACCCAUAAAGAAACAGACACUGAGUUCAGUUAAUGAAAAGGAUAGAGAUUCUUUGUAAAUGAUGCUAUUGGUGAAUAUUAGGGAUAUUGAAGGAUCUUGUUUUUUUUUUAUUUAUGUGUAUUUCUUCAUGAAUAAAUUAACCAAUAAGGAAAUGUAGAUGAGAAUGGACAGAAAGAAGGCCAAUCAGGGGCCAGUGAUGACGACUGGUGGUGAAGAAUGUCAGCGUGGAGCUCUGAGGGCCAACACAGACUGACUCUAGUCCAUUCCCCAGAUUUUAAAGGAUACUAUAGACAGAUUUCAGGAUUAUAUAGUGAUCUUUUUCUUGGUCUUUGUGUUCAUGAAUUUUAAAUAUAUGAUUAUAAAAGAACCAACGGCAGAAUAAAUUAGCAAAUGUAUAAAUGAAUAAAGAUGAAGAGGGUGAAGCGUUGUUCAUUACUGAAAUACGUAGUCAGGAGAAUGAAUAUUGAUAGACACUGGAAUGAUACUAAAGGGACCGGUGUGUUAAGUAUUGGACUAAGGAUGAUAUGGACAGUGAGAGGGAGUAGUCAGUUAUUGCCCUGACUCAGUUACAAGUUUUAAGUUUAUUUCGUAAAGAGAAAAACCGAUUUUAUCUUAAAUUUAUAAAUACUUAAAUGACUUUGUAAAUGGGGUAUGGAAAUUACAGAUCAAUGGAGAGAGCGUCUCAAUCUUUUUAACAUCUUUUCUGUCUGAUACUCUAAAAACAACGCAGCCAGCUGAUUUAAGCCUUGUUCCAUGAUCAAAAUCGUUACGUUGCCUCUGUUUCAGAAAGACACCAAGGUUAGUAAUAGUCAAGGUUCUUGUCUUGGUUUCAGUCAUUUGCUUAAGGUAUUCAUGGUAAUAUUAAAAAGUAUUAAGUAUAAUACACAAGUUAUCUAUGGCCAUUGGUUAAUACGGUAAGAAGCAUGAUAUUAAUUAAUUGAUAACGGGCAACAUUGAAGUCACUUAAUGAAAAAGAUACAGUGUAUUAGGAAAGAUUCCUAUCCAGGGGUGUUAGGGAUUUUCAAGGAUCUUGUUCUCGCAUUUUUGUGACUCAC